UUGACCUCGAAUCAGGUAGGAAUACCCGCUGAACUUAAGCAUAUCAAUAAGCGGAGGAAAAGAAACCAACAGGGAUUGCCCCAGUAACGGCGAGUGAAGCGGCAACAGCUCAAAUUUGAAAUCUGGCUCUCGGGCCCGAGUUGUAAUUUGUAGAGGAUGCUUUUGGUGAGGUGCCUUCCGAGUUCCCUGGAACGGGACGCCAUAGAGGGUGAGAGCCCCGUCUGGUUGGACACCGAUCCUCUGUAAAGCUCCUUCGACGAGUCGAGUAGUUUGGGAAUGCUGCUCUAAAUGGGAGGUAUAUGUCUUCUAAAGCUAA
rnacentral:rRNA from 2 species